UACGAAGGGGGCGAGCGUUGUUCGGAAUUACUGGGCGUAAAGGGCGCGUAGGCGGCCUGCUAAGUCGGACGUGAAAUCCCUCGGCUCAACCGAGGAACUGCGUCCGAUACUGGUGGGCUUGAAUCCGGGAGAGGGAUGUGGAAUUCCAGGUGUAGCGGUGAAAUGCGUAGAUAUCUGGAGGAACACCGGUGGCGAAGGCGGCAUCCUGGACCGGUAUUGACGCUGAGGCGCGAAAGCUAGGGGAGCAAACGGG
rnacentral:rRNA from 1 species